CCUGCCCCUAGAGGCAUCGGAGGUGUGACUGCUAUAUCAUGUGUGUGUCAGUAGGUGGCAGAGAAGAGAGAGGCUAUGAUCAAGUGUGCUCUGAAUUGUGAAUAUCUUAUUGCAUAGUAGCCUAAGGUU